rnacentral:lncRNA from 1 species
AAGAAGCUUAAAGAAAUUAAGGAAAAAAAAAGUUGAAGAUUUUUAUUAGUAUUAAACUAUUAUUAAUGUUUGGUACAUUCAACCCGUGAAUAAAAAAAAAAAUAGUGUAGAUUUUUGAAUUUUUUUUGGAAAAAGUAUUUUUCAUUUACUAAGGAAAAGCUUCAUAAAAGGAGUCACUGUUCUUCAAUCAAAUCAAAACAUUGAUAUGUAACUGACACAAGAAGAAGAAGAAAACGUACACAAGUACAAAUCAUCGAAAAACACAGAGACUGACUAUUUGAGAGCUUUGGUUCAUCGGAAAAAAAGAAAACCCAGAAUUCAGAGAUUUCAAAUAGAGAAAAAUGUAAACCUUUAAAAAAAAAAAAAAAAAAAAAUGUAAACCUUGUCUUGUGUGUCUUUGUAUUUUCUCAAAGUUUCCAAAUUCCGAAAAGACGGAUAAUCCGAAGCUGUCGUCGCUUCACUCACUCGAUCGCUUUUAUAAAUGUCACACAAAAUAUGACAAAACGCUUCUUCUCUCUCUCUCUCUCUUUCGUUUUAUCUUCCUCAGUGAUCGAUCCAACGGUGCGUAAAUAAAGGAUAAACCAGAGCCGUCUGAUUAUUUUUAAGUGUUGUGCCACGUAAUCUAUUAGCAGAUCGAUGUGUCAGACACGUCAGCAGCUAGAGCUGCAAAAAUGUUUGUACUACGACAUGGGUUUCCUCUGAGUUUGACGAUGAUUUGAAUCCGUACUACGACUUUGGACUUGUUUUUUUUUUUUUUUUUUCAUUUUCAAAAUUUUUAUAAUGUUUCAUUUAAGAAAAUUUUUAUAAAUAUUUAUGACCAAAUAAUCUAUCACCAAAUAAUGUAAUGGCCAAACGGCUAACCAAUUAAAUGGUUUGUUGGACACCAAAUUUAGUAGAUAUACAAAAAAAAAUAUCUAGCCUUUAUAUUGGACGGUUUAAUGGAAAUUUAAAGUAAAAAAAAAAAAAUUUAGUAGAUAUCCAAUAUUAAAAUCAAUUUUAACUAAAUAUGCGUCGGUCAUAAAUUCCCAUAUACGUUUAAAUAUAAAGGCUAGACAUGUCCAAUAUUUCUGAACGCAUCAUCUACUUCAGUGAUUAAUGAUUUUUAUGUACUUUUCCGCAACUAUAUAUAUUUUAUAUAGGGCUGUCUGCCCCUGUCCCCCUGUACUAUAGUAUUUCAAUUCGGUUCUCCAUGUACUUUCAUCUUCUUCCUAUUUCCCCUUAUACACAUGACAUUCUUCAUAAUUCCACCUUUUUUUAUAAAAUUCUACCCAAUUCCCCACAAUCAAUUAAACUCUCUAAAUGCGUUUUAAAAUCGCUAAAUCGCGUUUUAAAAUUGAUUUUCUCUGACCAAACCGGUAAUCGACCCAAAUCUCAUAACCUGAAUUGAACCUUCUAAUUGAUAGAGAGGGUUCGAUUUUCUCCCUAAAACCCUAACAAAAUCAAAUUGGGGAUUUUCUUCUCCACCCACCCCGACACCUGCGAAGACUUCUUCUUCUCCGACUAAGACUGCUUCUUCCGACAGCGACUGAGACCGUCAAAGACUCCUCUGACAUUGCCUCCUCCGACUGAGACUCCUUCGAGUUAGACUCCUCCGGUUGAGACUAUCGAAGACAUUCUCCACACAAAAAUGUCGUAAGUUUUUGGGUUUUUCUUACCAAACAUCGCCCCAUAAUUGUUGGAUUUGUUUGAAUUUGUUCGGAAUUGUAUCAAUUUGUUCGGAGUUGUAACGAUUUGUUUGGAUUAGUUGAUUUUGAGAGUGAUAAAGAGAUGUCUGACGACAUGUUUUUCAAAUGUAGUGAUAGGGAUGAUGUCGAGUACAAUGGGGGUUCUGAAUCAGAGAAUGCAGAUGAGAGUAUGGUGAACAAUACUGAAUCAGAGAGUGAAGAGCAGAUUGAAGAAAAUCUGAGAAGGAAAAAGAAGAAGAAGAAGAAGAAGAAGAAGAAGACGGAGAAGAAAGAGAAGAAGGAGA